UACUUAGCGGCGGACGGGUGAGUAACGCGUGGGUAACCUGCCUUACACUGGGGGAUAACAGUUAGAAAUGACUGCUAAUACCGCAUAAGCGCACAGGGCCGCAUGGUCUGGUGUGAAAAACUCCGGUGGUGUAAGAUGGACCCGCGUCUGAUUAGGUAGUUGGUGGGGUAACGGCCCACCAAGCCGACGAUCAGUAGCCGACCUGAGAGGGUGACCGGCCACACUGGGACUGAGACACGGCCCAA
rnacentral:rRNA from 1 species